GUUGAAAUCCAAAACAUCUGGAGGGUACCAGGUUGGGGAAGGCUGUUAUAUGCUUUUGUACAAGAUGUGAUUGAUGUGGAUCAUAAGUAUUUUACUUAAUGGGCAAAUUGACUGUUUACCUAAAACCACCUUGGAAUGUACCUUCAUUCGUGUCAAUCUGUAGAAUAGUAAUGGCAUAAAACUGGUCUGGAAUAUCAAAGGAAAGCUUAAAAGGGGGCAGUUUCUAGAUUUUGACUAUUGGAAGAACUGACCCUGGCAUUUAGUUUUUUGGUUUUUUUACUAUCCCUGCCUGCACGCUUACUUCUGUGCCUAUGUAAACCCUACUCAAGUUGUACAUUUGUAAAUAAACAGAUUAUUACAAAGAUA